rnacentral:tRNA from 1 species
GGCUUCGUAGCUCAGCUGGUAGAGCGCUUGUCCCGUUGAGGCAUGCCGUGUCUGUAGCUGGUUGGAAUCCAGAGGAAGCCC